AACGCUAGCGGCAGGCCUAAUACAUGCAAGUCGAGGGGUAACAGGAAGUGCUUGCACUUCGCUGACGACCGGCGCACGGGUGAGUAUCGCGUAUACAAUCUGCCUCAUACUAGGGAAUAGCCCGAAGAAAUUUGGAUUAAUGCCCUAUAGUAUCUUUUUAAGGCAUCUUAUUAAGAUUAAAGGCUACGGUAUGAGAUGAGUAUGCGUUCUAUUAGCUAGUAGGUGUGGUAACGGCACACCUAGGCUACGAUAGAUAGGGGCCCUGAGAGGGGGAUCCCCCACACUGGUACUGAGACACGGACCAGACUCCUACGGGAGGCAGCAGUAAGGAAUAUUGGUCAAUGGACGAAAGUCUGAACCAGCCAUGCCGCGUGCAGGAUGACUGCCCUAUGGGUUGUAAACUGCUUUUAUAUAGGAAGAAAAACUUUCUCGUGAGAAAGCUUGACGGUACUAUAAGAAUAAGGAUCGGC
rnacentral:rRNA from 1 species